AACGAACGCUGGCGGCAUGCCUAACACAUGCAAGUCGAACGAGACCUUCGGGUCUAGUGGCGCACGGGUGCGUAACGCGUGGGAACCUGCCCUUAGGUUCGGAAUAACUCCCCGAAAGGGGUGCUAAUACCGGAUAAUGUCUUCGGACCAAAGAUUUAUCGCCUUUGGAUGGGCCCGCGUUGGAUUAGCUAGUUGGUAGGGUAAAAGCCUACCAAGGCGACGAUCCAUAGCUGGUCUGAGAGGAUGAUCAGCCACACUGGGACUGAGACACGGCCCAGACUCCUACGGGAAGCAGCAGUGGGGAAUAUUGGACAAUGGGCGAAAGCCUGAUCCAGCAAUGCCGCGUGAGUGAUGAAGGCCUUAGGGUUGUAAAGCUCUUCUACCCGGGAUGAUAAUGACAGUACCGGGAGAAUAAGCUCCGGCUAACUCCGUG
rnacentral:rRNA from 1 species